rnacentral:rRNA from 1 species
AACGAACGCUGGCGGCAGGCUUAACACAUGCAAGUCGAACGCCCCGCAAGGGGAGUGGCAGACGGGUGAGUAACGCGUGGGAAUCUACCCAGUUCUACGGAACAACAGAGGGAAACUUCUGCUAAUACCGUAUACGCCCCAAGGGGGAAAGAUUUAUCGGAAUUGGAUGAGCCCGCGUAAGAUUAGCUAGUUGGUGAGGUAAUGGCUCACCAAGGCGACGAUCUUUAGCUGGUCUGAGAGGAUGAUCAGCCACACUGGGACUGAGACACGGCCCAGACUCCUACGGGAGGCAGCAGUGGGGAAUAUUGGACAAUGGGCGCAAGCCUGAUCCAGCCAUGCCGCGUGAGUGAUGAAGGCCUUAGGGUUGUAAAGCUCUUUCAGUAGGGAAGAUAAUGACGGUACCUACAGAAGAAGCCCCGGCUAACUUCGUGCCAGCAGCCGCCGUAAAAC